UCCAGACUCCUACGGGAGGCAGCAGUGAGGAAUAUUGGUCAAUGGUCGGGAGACUGAACCAGCCAAGCCGCGUGAGGGAGGAAGGUACAGAGUAUCGUAAACCUCUUUUGUCAGGGAACAAAGGCGGGGACGUGUCCCCGGAUGAGUGUACCUGAAGAAAAAGCAUCGGCUAACUCCGUGCCAGCAGCCGCGGUAAUACGGAGGAUGCGAGCGUUAUCCGGAUUUAUUGGGUUUAAGGGGUGCGCAGGCGGUCUGUUAAGUCAGCGGUCAAAGCCCGGGGCUCAACCCCGCCCAGCCGUCGGAACUGCCGGGCUAGAGUGGGCGGGAAGUGCGCGGAAUGCGUGGUGUAGCGGUGAAAUGCAUAGAUAUCGCGCAGAACUCCGAUUGCGAAGGCAGCAUGCCGGCUCCACACUGACGCUGAGGCACGAAAGCGUGGGUAUCGAACAGGAUUAGAUACCCGAGUAA
rnacentral:rRNA from 1 species